UACGUAGGUGGCAAGCGUUGUCCGGAUUUAUUGGGUUUAAAGGGUGCGUAGGCGGUCUUUUAAGUCAGUGCUGAAAUACUCCAGCUUAACUGGAGGGCGGCAUUGAUACUGGAAGACUUGAGUGCGAGUCGAACGUAGGCGGAAUUGACGGUGUAGCGGUGAAAUGACUUAGAUAUCGUCAAGAACACCGAUAGUGAAGACAGCUUACUAGGCUGCAACUGACGCUGAGGCACGAAAAGUGUGGGGAUCAAACAGG
rnacentral:rRNA from 1 species